rnacentral:tRNA from 1 species
GGCGAUAUGGCCGAGCGGUCUAAGGCGCCAGAAUCAGGUUGCUGCAUCUGGUCCGAAAGGGCGUGGGUUCGAAUCCCACUGUCGUCA